rnacentral:tRNA from 1 species
GGAUGGGUGCCCGAGUGGUUUAAGGGACCGGUCUUGAAAACCGGCAGGGGUUAGCGCCCCUCGUGGGUUCGAAUCCCACCCCAUCCGCCA